rnacentral:lncRNA from 12 species
GCAGCCCCGAGCUCGGUUUGCGUCUUCAAGAGACGCUGGGCGCCCCCGUGCUUCUCUUUGGCCACCUUGCCAGGCAGCAGCCACGGUGGACAUAGGAGCCCUGAGAGAGAAUCAACUAAACCAGAGCACAGAUCAAAUUACAAGAUUCUACAUUCAAUUCCCUACCUUGCUUUCUUGGUAACACAGGAUGAAUGCCUUCAGUUGUGGUAAAAACGAUGCCAGAUGUGACCAAAAGCUAUUAUUAUGGCCUGACCAAGAAAAUGCCCUCCUCACACUACCAAAAUAUGUCAAUGUGGAUCCUGAGACAGGAGAAAAGAUUGAACCAGCAGAUGCCAAAAAAUGAGGACUGCAGACUGAUUCCAAACAAAUGGAAAACUGAAGUCGAAACCACCAACUUCUCACAUGGUAUCUGGGGACAAAACCAAGGGCUGGGAGGAUUUCACUCAAAUACGGGAAAUGUAGACUGA